rnacentral:rRNA from 1 species
AACGAACGCUGGCGGCAUGCCUAACACAUGCAAGUCGAACGAGACCUUCGGGUCUAGUGGCGCACGGGUGCGUAACGCGUGGGAACCUGCCCUUAGGUUCGGAAUAACUCCCCGAAAGGGGUGCUAAUACCGGAUAAUGUCUUCGGACCAAAGAUUUAUCGCCUUUGGAUGGGCCCGCGUUGGAUUAGCUAGUUGGUAGGGUAAAAGCCUACCAAGGCGACGAUCCAUAGCUGGUCUGAGAGGGUGAUCAGCCACACUGGGACUGAGACACGGCCCAGACUCCUACGGGAGGCAGCAGUAGGGAAUAUUGGACAAUGGGCGAAAGCCUGAUCCAGCAAUGCCGCGUGAGUGAUGAAGGCCUUAGGGUUGUAAAGCUCUUUUACCCGGGAUGAUAAUGACAGUACCGGGAGAAUAAGCUCCGGCUAACUCCGUG